AGAUAAAUUUUCAAGGAAGUAUGUUAAAUUAGAUAAUGUAAAAAUAGAUGGUUGUAAAAUAUUAGAUACUAACCUUAUAUUAAAAAAUCAAUAUGCAUUUUCAACUUCAAUUCAGAAUUUUAAAAUCAUUGAAAGAAAUUUUGAAAUAAAAUAUUUAACAGAUUUUAUAAAUGAUCACCUAAAACACAGCUGCCCUGGCUCAUUAUAUGUGUCAGGGCCACCAGGCACUGGAAAAACGAUGUCAAUUAACCACAUAUUAAAUAAUGUAUUCCAAAAGCAUGAUAUUAAUCGCAUUAUGAUCAAUUGCAUGAGUUUAAAUAAAUAUCAUGAGGUGUUUGACAAAAUCUACAAUAUUUUGUCAAAUGGUUUAAAAUUACAAACAUCAAAUUUAACAAAAAUUAUAAAUAUUUUUAAAAGUCAUUUUCAAUCAAAUCCAUCUAAAAUGAACCUGAUAAUAAUAGAUGAAAUUGAUCAUUUGAAAACAAAGAAAAAUGAAGUUUUGCUUAAAGUAUUU